GAAACUGCCGAAGACAGUAGGUGCCGUAAGGCAUAAGGUUCAAAACGCCUACCGAGGAAAGUACAUUCUUGAAGAAGAUUUGUAUGCCUUGCUGUCUGUGCAGCAAGGCAUUUUCUUUUG
rnacentral:sRNA from 1 species